UAUAUGUCAGUUUGUGUUUGCUCUGAGGAAGGCUCAAAAAUAAGCCGAAACAUGUA
rnacentral:hammerhead_ribozyme from 15 species